ACUCUGGUAUUGAUUGGUGCUUGCAUCAUGAUUUACAUUUGAGUGAGUGGCGAACUGGUGAGUAACACGUGGGAAACCUGCCCAGAAGCGGGGGAUAACACCUGGAAACAGAUGCUAAUACCGCAUAACAACUUGGACCGCAUGGUCCGAGCUUGAAAGAUGGCUUCGGCUAUCACUUUUGGAUGGUCCCGCGGCGUAUUAGCUAGAUGGUGGGGUAACGGCUCACCAUGGCAAUGAUACGUAGCCGACCUGAGAGGGUAAUCGGCCACAUUGGGACUGAGACACGGCCCAAACUCCUACGGGAGGCAGCAGUAGGGAAUCUUCCACAAUGGACGAAAGUCUGAUGGAGCAACGCCGCGUGAGUGAAGAAGGGUUUCGGCUCGUAAAACUCUGUUGUUAAAGAAGAACAUAUCUGAGAGUAACUGUUCAGGUAUUGACGGUAUUUAACCAGAAAGCCACGGCUAACUACGUGCCAGCAGCCGCGGUAAUACGUAGGUGGCAAGCGUUGUCCGGAUUUAUUGGGCGUAAAGCGAGCGCAGGCGGUUUUUUAAGUCUGAUGUGAAAGCCUUCGGCUCAACCGAAGAAGUGCAUCGGAAACUGGGAAACUUGAGUGCAGAAGAGGACAGUGGAACUCCAUGUGUAGCGGUGAAAUGCGUAGAUAUAUGGAAGAACACCAGUGGCGAAGGCGGCUGUCUGGUCUGUAACUGACGCUGAGGCUCGAAAGUAUGGGUAGCAAACAGGAUUAGAUACCCUGGUAGUCCAUACCGUAAACGAUGAAUGCUAAGUGUUGGAGGGUUUCCGCCCUUCAGUGCUGCAGCUAACGCAUUAAGCAUUCCGCCUGGGGAGUACGGCCGCAAGGCUGAAACUCAAAGGAAUUGACGGGGGCCCGCACAAGCGGUGGAGCAUGUGGUUUAAUUCGAAGCUACGCGAAGAACCUUACCAGGUCUUGACAUACUAUGCAAAUCUAAGAGAUUAGACGUUCCCUUCGGGGACAUGGAUACAGGUGGUGCAUGGUUGUCGUCAGCUCGUGUCGUGAGAUGUUGGGUUAAGUCCCGCAACGAGCGCAACCCUUAUUAUCAGUUGCCAGCAUUAAGUUGGGCACUCUGGUGAGACUGCCGGUGACAAACCGGAGGAAGGUGGGGAUGACGUCAAAUCAUCAUGCCCCUUAUGACCUGGGCUACACACGUGCUACAAUGGAUGGUACAACGAGUUGCGAACUCGCGAGAGUAAGCUAAUCUCUUAAAGCCAUUCUCAGUUCGGAUUGUAGGCUGCAACUCGCCUACAUGAAGUCGGAAUCGCUAGUAAUCGCGGAUCAGCAUGCCGCGGUGAAUACGUUCCCGGGCCUUGUACACACCGCCCGUCACACCAUGAGAGUUUGUAACACCCAAAGUCGGUGGG
rnacentral:rRNA from 2 species